CCUACGGGGGGCUGCAGUGGGGAAUAUUGCACAAUGGGCGCAAGCCUGAUGCAGCCAUGCCGCGUGUGUGAAGAAGGCCUUCGGGUUGUAAAGCACUUUCAGCGGGGAGGAAGGCGGUGAGGUUAAUAACCUCAUCGAUUGACGUUACCCGCAGAAGAAGCACCGGCUAACUCCGUGCCAGCAGCCGCGGUAAUACGGAGGGUGCAAGCGUUAAUCGGAAUUACUGGGCGUAAAGCGCACGCAGGCGGUCUGUCAAGUCGGAUGUGAAAUCCCCGGGCUCAACCUGGGAACUGCAUUCGAAACUGGCAGGCUAGAGUCUUGUAGAGGGUGGUAGAAUUCCAGGUGUAGCGGUGAAAUGCGUAGAGAUCUGGAGGAAUACCGGUGGCGAAGGCGGCCCCCUGGACAAAGACUGACGCUCAGGUGCGAGAGCGUGGGGAGCAAACAGGAUUAGAUACCCCGGUAGUC
rnacentral:rRNA from 1 species